rfam:Myotis lucifugus cont2.55321, whole genome shotgun sequence.
CUCCGCAGUUUCCCUCGGGAUAGCUGGCGCUCUGGCAGACGCACAAAAGACGCACUUUGAUCCAUCCGGUCAAGCGAAUCAUUAGAGGUCUUGGGGCAGAAAGGAUCUCAACGUAGUCUCAAACUUUCUUUCAAUGGGUCAGAAGCCCGGCUCGCUGGCGUGGAGCCGGGCGUGGAAUGCGAGUGCCUAGCGGGCCACUUUUGGCAAGCAGAACUGGCGCUGCGGGGUGAACCGAACGCCUGCUUAAGGCGCCCGAUGCCGACGCUCAUCAGACCCCAGAAAAGGUGUUGGUUGAUAGCGACAGCAGGACGGGGGUCAUGGAAGUCGGAAUCCGCUAACGAGUGUGUAACAACUCACCUGUGGAAUCAACGAGCCCUGAAAACGGAUGGCGCCGGUGCCGCGGGCCCAUACCCGGCUGUAGUUCUUCCAAGGAG